rnacentral:rRNA from 2 species
GCCCUAAUACAUGCAGUCGAGCGGACUUGACGGAAGCUUGCUUCCGUUCAGUUAGCGGCGGACGGGUGAGUAACACGUGGGUAACCUGCCUGUAAGACUGGGAUAACUCCGGGAAACCGGGGCUAAUACCGGAUAUUCUUUUUCUUCGCAUGAAGAAGAAUGGAAAGGCGGCUUUUAGCUGUCGCUUACAGAUGGACCCGCGGCGCAUUAGCUAGUUGGUGAGGUAACGGCUCACCAAGGCAACGAUGCGUAGCCGACCUGAGAGGGUGAUCGGCCACACUGGGACUGAGACACGGCCCAGACUCCUACGGGAGGCAGCAGUAGGGAAUCUUCCGCAAUGGACGAAAGUCUGACGGAGCAACGCCGCGUGAGUGAAGAAGGUUUUCGGAUCGUAAAGCUCUGUUGUCAGGGAAGAACAAGUACGGAAGUAACUGUCCGUACCUUGACGGUACCUGACCAGAAAGCCACGGCUAACUACGUGCCAGCAGCCGCGGUAAUACGUAGGUGGCAAGCGUUGUCCGGAAUUAUUGGGCGUAAAGCGCGCGCAGGCGGCUUCUUAAGUCUGAUGUGAAAGCCCACGGCUCAACCGUGGAGGGUCAUUGGAAACUGGGAGGCUUGAGUGCAGAAGAGGAGAGCGGAAUUCCACGUGUAGCGGUGAAAUGCGUAGAGAUGUGGAGGAACACCAGUGGCGAAGGCGGCUCUCUGGUCUGUAACUGACGCUGAGGCGCGAAAGCGUGGGGAGCGAACAGGAUUAGAUCCUUUGGUUAGUCCAAAAGG